AUUGAACGCUGGCGGCAGGCCUAACACAUGCAAGUCGAGCGGGGCGGCGGACGGGUGGGUGAUUCCUAUGAAUCUGCCUGGUCGUUAGGGAUAACUACCUGCAACGGACGCUAAUACCUCAUGUUCUCAGAUGGGCCAAUGUCGGAUUAGCUAGUUGGUGGGGUAAAGGCCUACCCAGGCGACGAUCCGUAACUGGUCUGAGAGGAUGAUCAGUCACACUGGAACUGAGACACGGUCCAGACUCCUACGGUAGGCAGCAGUGGGGAAUAUUGGACAAUGGGCGAAAGCCUGAUCCAGCCAUGCCGCGUGUGGGAAGAAGGUCUUCGGAUUGUAAAGCACUUUAAGUUGGGAGGCGUUACCAACAGAAUAAGCACCGGCUAACUUCGUGCCAGCAGCCGCGGUAAUAC
rnacentral:rRNA from 1 species